GGACAGAUGGGUGAGUUGGCUGAAACCACAUCCCUGCUAAGGAUGCGAAUGGGUAACUGUUCCCCGGGUUCGAAUCCCGGUCUGUCCACCA
rnacentral:tRNA from 1 species